GGCUGGUCCGAAGGUAGUGAGUUAUCUCACUUGAUUGUUCAGUCAGUUACAGAUUGAACUCCUCGUUCUACUAUUUAACCCCCUUCUCACUACUGCACUUGACUAGUCUUAA
rnacentral:Y_RNA from 1 species